rnacentral:rRNA from 1 species
UAAAAGCUACCCUGGGGAUAACAGGCUUAUCUCCCCCAAGAGUCCACAUCGACGGGGAGGUUUGGCACCUCGAUGUCGGCUCAUCACAUCCUGGGGCUGUAGUAGGUCCCAAGGGUUGGGCUGUUCGCCCAUUACAGUGGUACGCGAGCUGGGUUCAGAACGUCGUGAGACAGUUCGGUCCCUAUCCGUCGCAGGCGUAGGAAAUUUGAGAAGACCUGUCCUUAGUACGAGAGGACCGUGACGGACGUACCUCUGGUGUACCAGUUGUUCUGCCAAGGGCAUGGCUGGGUAGCUAUGUACGGAAUGGAUAAGCGCUGAAAGCAUCUAAGCGCGAAGCCAACUUCAAGAUAAGAUUUCCCACCG